UCAAGUUAUUAAGGGUGCAGGGCGGAUGCCUUGGCACUAGGAGCCGAUGAAGGACGUGAUAAGCUGCGAUAAGCUUCGGGGAGUUGCACGUAAACUUUGAUCCGAAGAUUUCCGAAUGAGGAAACUCACUUAGAGUAAUGUCUAAGUAUCAUUAAGUGAAUACAUAGCUUAAUGAGGGGAACUCAGGGAACUGAAACAUCUAAGUACCUGAAGGAAGAGAAAGAAAUUCGAUUCCGUAAGUAGCGGCGAGCGAACGCGGAUUAGCCCAAACCAAUAAAGUUUUCUUUAUUGGGGUUGCGGACAUAUCAUAACGAAGAGGUAUCGUAAUUGAAGAGGUUUGGAAAGACCCACCACAGAAGGUAAUAGUCCUGUAUGUUAAACGAGAAGACUUCAGAUAUGAUCCAGAGUACCACGGGACACGUGAAACCCUGUGGGAAGCAGGAGGGACCACCCUCCAAGGCUAAAUACUACCUAGUGACCGAUAGCGUAUAGUACCGUGAGGGAAAGGUGAAAAGAACCCCGGGAGGGGAGUGAAAUAGAACCUGAAACCCUGCACUUACAAGCUGUGGAAGCACAUUUCUUGUGUGACCGCGUACUUUUUGUAGAACGGGCCAACGAGUUACGUUAAGUAGCAAGGUUAAGCACUUAAGGUGCGGAGCCGUAGCGAAAGCGAGUUUUAACUGAGCGUUCAGUUACUUGACGUAGACCCGAAACCGGGCGACCUACCCAUGAGCAGGAUGAAGCGAAAGUAAAAUUUCGUGGAGGUCCGAACCCACGAGCGUUGAAAAGCUCGGGGAUGACUUGUGGGUAGCGGUGAAAUUCCAAUCGAGCCCGGAGAUAGCUGGUUCUCCCCGAAAUAGCUUUAGGGCUAGCCUCAAGGUGAGAGAUACGGAGGUAGAGCACUGAAUGUCCUAGGGGGUAUUGCACCUACCGAAGACUAUCAAACUCCGAAUGCCGUCAUCUUAUACUUGGGAGUCAGACUGUGGGUGAUAAGAUUCAUAGUCGAAAGGGCAACAGCCCAGAUCGUCAGCUAAGGUCCCUAAAUGUAAGUUAAGUGGUAAAGGAUGUGGGAUUGCACAGACAACCAGGAUGUUGGCUUAGAAGCAGCCACUCAUUCAAAGAGUGCGUAAUAGCUCACUGGUCGAGUGAUCCUGCGCCGAAGAUUUCCGGGGCUAAAACUUACUACCGAAGCUACGGCAUCAGUAAUGAUGGGUAGGGGAGCUUCCCAUACGGGUUGAAGCAUGACCGUAAGGACAUGUGGACAGUAUGGGAGUGAGAAUGUUGGCAUGAGUAGCGAGAUGUGGGUGAGAAUCCCACAGGCCGUAAACCCAAGGUUUCCAGGGGAAGGUUCGUCCGCCCUGGGUUAGUCGGGACCUAAGCUGAGGCCGAAAGGCGUAGGUGAUGGACAACAGGUUGAUAUUCCUGUACUACCGAUAACCGUUUGAGAGAAGGGAUGACACAGUAGGAUAAGCUAAGCACACUGUUGGUUAUGUGUGCCCAAGCAUUGAGGCAGUCAAAGUAGGCAAAUCCGCUUUGAUAAUGCUGGGAUGUGAUGGGGAGCGAAAUUUAGUAGCGAAGUAGCUGAUUUCACACUGUCAAGAAAAGUCUCUAUCGAGGUUAAAGGUACCCGUACCGCAAACCGACACAGGUGGGUGAGGAGAGUAUCCUAAGGCCAGCGAGAGAACUGUUGUUAAGGAACUCGGCAAAAUGACCCCGUAACUUAGGGAUAAGGGGUGCCACCAUCAGGUGGCCGCAGAGAAUAGGCCCAAGCGACUGUUUACCAAAAACAUAGGUUUCUGCUAAGUCGCAAGACGAUGUAUAGGAGCUGACGCCUGCCCGGUGCUGGAAGGUUAAGGGGAUCUGUUAGAGCAAUCGAAGCAGUGAACUUAAGCCCCAGUAAACGGCGGCCGUAACUAUAACGGUCCUAAGGUAGCGAAAUUCCUUGUCGGGUAAGUUCCGACCCGCACGAAAGGCGUAACGAUUUGGGCACUGUCUCAACAACAGACUCGGUGAAAUUGUAAUUCCGGUGAAGAUGCCGGAUACCUGCGACAGGACGGAAAGACCCCAUGGAGCUUUACUGUAGCUUGACAUUGGGUCUUGGUACUACAUGUACAGGAUAGGUGGGAGGCUUUGAAACCAGGACGCCAGUUUUGGCGGAGCCAUCCUUGGGAUACCACCCUUGUAGUACUGGGACUCUAACCAUAGGCCAUGAAUCUGGUCUUGGGACACUGUCAGGUGGGCAGUUUGACUGGGGCGGUCGCCUCCCAAAAGGUAACGGAGGCGCUCAAAGGGUCUCUCAGUACGGUCGGAAAUCGUACGUAGAGUGUAAAGGCAAAAGAGAGCUUGAUUGCAAGACAUACAGGUCGAGCAAGGAUGAAAAUCGGACUUAGUGAUCCGGUGGUUCUGCGUGGAAGGGCCAUCGCUCAACGGAUAAAAGCUACCCUGGGGAUAACAGGCUUAUCUCCCCCAAGAGUCCACAUCGACGGGGAGGUUUGGCACCUCGAUGUCGGCUCAUCACAUCCUGGGGCUGUAGUAGGUCCCAAGGGUUGGGCUGUUCGCCCAUUAAAGUGGUACGCGAGCUGGGUUCAGAACGUCGUGAGACAGUUCGGUCCCUAUCCGUCGCAGGCGUAGGAAAUUUGAGAAGACCUGUCCUUAGUACGAGAGGACCGGGAUGGACGUACCUCUGGUGUACCAGUUGUCCUGCCAAGGGCAUGGCUGGGUAGCUAUGUACGGAAUGGAUAAGCGCUGAAAGCAUCUAAGCGCGAAGCCAACUUCAAGAUAAGAUUUCCCACCGCAAGGGUAAGACCCCAGAAAGACUAUCUGGUUGAUAGGUCGAAGGUGUAAGUGCAGCAAUGUAUUUAGCUUAUCGAUACUAAUAGGUCGAGGACUUGACCAA
rnacentral:rRNA from 1 species